rnacentral:pre_miRNA from 1 species
CCCAGUGUUCAGACUACCUGUUCAUCAGACUCAAGCUGAACAGUAGUCUGCACAUUGGUUA